rnacentral:rRNA from 1 species
CAGUAGCCACGGUAAUACGUAGGUGGCAAGCGUUGUCCGGAAUCAUCGGGCGUAAAGGGCUCGCAGGCGGUUUCUUAAGUCUGAUGUGAAAGCCCCCGGCUCAACCGGGGAGGGUCAUUGGAAACUGGGAAACUUGAGUGCAGAAGAGGAGAGUGGAAUUCCACGUGUAGCGGUGAAAUGCGUAGAGAUGUGGAGGAACACCAGUGGCGAAGGCGACUCUCUGGUCUGUAACUGACGCUGAGGAGCGAAAGCGUGGGGAGCGAACAGGAUUAGAUACCCCUGUAGUCCCUGUCUCUUAUAC